GGGCGAUUGGUUUAGUGGUAUAAUACUCCCUUAGCAUGGGAGUGGUCCAGGGUUCGAUUCCCUGAUCGUCCA